GCGCGGAUAGCUCAGUUGGUAGAGCACUCGGCUUUUAACCGAUUGGUCCUGGGUUCGAAUCCCAGUCCGCGUA
rnacentral:tRNA from 1 species